AAGCGGGGAGGAGACCAACAGGGAUUGCCCCAGUAACGGCGAGUGAAGCGGCAACAGCUCAAAUUUGAAAUCUGGCCCCCGGGUCCGAGUUGUAAUUUGCAGAGGAUGCUUUGGGCGAGGUGCCUUCCGAGUUCCCUGGAACGGGACGCCACAGAGGGUGAGAGCCCCGUCUGGUCGGACACCGAGCCCGUGUAAAGCUCCUUCGACGAGUCGAGUAGUUUGGGAAUGCUGCUCAAAAUGGGAGGUAUAUGUCUUCUAAAGCUAAAUAUUGGCCAGAGACCGAUAGCGCACAAGUAGAGUGAUCGAAAGAUGAAAAGCACUUUGAAAAGAGGGUUAAAAAGUACGUGAAAUUGUUGAAAGGGAAGCGCCUAUGACCAGACUUGGGCCCGGUGAAUCAUCCAGCGUUCUCGCUGGUGCACUUUGCCGGGCACAGGCCAGCAUCAGUUUGGCGCGGGGGACAAAGGCUUCGGGAAUGUGGCUCCCUCGGGAGUGUUAUAGCCCGCUGCGUAAUACCCUGCGCCGGACUGAGGUACGCGCAUCGCAAGGAUGCUGGCGUAAUGGUCAUCAGCGACCCGUCUUGAAACACGGACCAAGGAGUCGUCUUCGUAUGCGAGUGUUCGGGUGUCAAACCCCUACGCGGAAUGAAAGUGAACGCAGGUGAGAGCUUCGGCGCAUCAUCGACCGAUCCUGAUGUUCUCGGAUGGAUUUGAGUAAGAGCAUACGGGGCCGGACCCGAAAGAAGGUGAACUAUGCCUGUAUAGGGUGAAGCCAGAGGAAACUCUGGUGGAGGCUCGCAGCGGUUCUGACGUGCGAAUCGAUCGUCAAAUAUGGGCAUGGGGGCGAAAGACUAAUCGAACCUUCUAGUAGCUGGUUUCCGCCGAAUUUCCCCCUCAGGAAA
rnacentral:rRNA from 1 species